AGGAAGGUAAGGAAAAAAGAGGAAAGAAGGAAGAAAGUAAAGAAAGAAGAAAAAGAAAGAAAGAAAGAAAAGGAAAGAAAAGGAAAGAAGGGGAGAGGGGCAGAGAGUGCCCAUGGGACUUGAUUGAGACUGCCAUCAAGACGAGGCGGGAUAGUGGGGCAUCCCAUUCUGUGGAGAAACUGGGACACCCCCAUCCCACGUGACUUAAAACCAUGUUGUUUCCUGCAUCCAUUUCCCCUCGUAGCAAUUAUGACUUGUAUACAACAUUUUUCUAUUAUUUUUCUAACCAGAAACACAUGUUCACCAUCAACAUAAGUUGCAUAUCAAAAGAAUUCCAUAAAAAAAAAUUGAACUUUAAAGCUGAUAUAGAUAUCACUUCAUGAAUUGCAUACGAAGAGAAAUUGAUAAAAAUUAGACGAAAAGUGCAACUAGACACCUGAACAAUAUUCUUCUGAAUCACUAGAAGAAACAAUGGGAAUGGGUAGAAUAAAAAGAACUGUUAGGUGAAGGCAUGCUGUGUGGCUAUAAAGAAAGGAUGCACGUCAUACAAGAUUACAGUCAAAGUACUAUGUAAAAUUAAAAAUAUGAACUAUUGUUGGUGAAUAAGAAAGCUAUUUGGUUAAUACUGAUUGUACCAAUUAAAAAUUUAACCAGGAUAUGCUUAAAGAUAAUUGCCACAGAGCAUGUUUGAGUGCACCAUAUUGUUGACUUGUCUUUUGAUAUUGAAAUACUAAGAGGAUUAUACAAUAUAUCCCCUUUAAUUAAAAGCAUACCCUUUAUGACCGGUAGAACAAUGUUUAUGAAGAGAAGCAAAGACAGCAUAUCCUGCAGGAGUGUCUCCAUAAGCUUCUACUGAUAUUCAUUAGAGAAUAGUGGACAAAUAUGCUUGUAUGACCGUAGACAAACAUCAGCAUCAGUGUUAAAAAGUAGAGAACUGCAUUGUUGCCUUCCAAAGAUACUAAUAUUUGUGAUACUUUCAGGUUACUAGAUGCAUUAGACACAAUCAAGUAAUUAACACUCACCAACCAAUUGUCUCAAUAGAUUUUCAUAUGGGUACGCAUAGACCAACAAACAAAUAUCCAAUAUAAUAUAGGAACCACAAUGGCAAACCUCGUUAUGACAUAAACAAGUCAUGUUCCACAACAAUCAUCUACAUGAUAGAUUGCCAAUGACAAGCAACCACCAUAUUUAUGAACCACUCUAACAGCAUUACAUAUGCCUGAAUUGAUGUCACCUUACUUCAUGCUCAAUUCAUCAUGCUGCAGAUUGUGAAUAAAAAGCAGAACUCUUGGAGAGAUUAAUUAGAGGAGACAAUGUGACAGUUGAGAAGAUAAUUGGUCAUUGGUGACAAGGUGCCUGAGGGUGUGAAUUAAAGUGACAGCAGUAGUAUCCUGAUACUGGUCAGGAAUUCAAAAAUCAUUCAGAUGCAUGCAUAAUAAAUUUCUAAAAGAAAAAAAAAAUGAAUUGGGAACAUCUUGGAACCAACCUCCCAUGACCUGGUCAGAAAUUCAAACAUCAUUCAGAUGCAUGCAUAAUAAAAUUCUAAAAGAAAAAAAAAAUGAAUUGGGAACAUCUUGGAACCAACCUCCCAUGACUUUUAAUUCCCUAUUGGCCUGAUAUGCUUGAUCUAAGCCCAUGCAGCCAACUCAGUUCUAUUCACUGACCUGUCUAGGCCCAUGAAAAAACCCACUCAGUUACAAAAUGGUUCAGACUCCAAGAUAGUUGGGCUCACAAAAUGAAGACAAAUUCUAGUGGUUAACAUCAAGGUUUGCCGAACCGGUAUUGGGACCUAUACCAGUAGGCAACCAGAAUGAUACGGUAUGGGGAUGAACUGUAUUUUUUUUAAAAAAAAUUGUAUUGAAGUCCGCAAAUAGUUUGCAGACUUCAUUGAAGCAAGUCGGCAAACCAUUUGCUG